UAUCCGGUCUGUAUUCAAGUAUUCAGGGAACACUACACGCCGUAUCAAAAGUGUUCGCGAAAAUGACGUCAGUAACACGGAAGCGUUUUUCUAACUUCCGCAAAAUGCGUGGGCUUCCGGUUAAGAUGGCGGUCAGCGAGGAGGUGGUUUUGUAAAGCUCUGAUAACUUUUGUUUAUUUACUAUAAUUUAGUGCUUUCUAACCUCUAAACAUUUAUAUAUUAUCAACCCGAAGCUGUACGCAAGAUAAUUCUGCAACAACCGGAAACAGUCAACAUCCUGUUUGUACAGAGAUCAACGUUCCUGACGGCUCCUUUGAAAAUAACGAUAACACGGCUUGGGCGCCAUACCAUGGCGGUUAUACUUUCGUGACGUCAGAGGCCCAAGAUGAAAAACGAAGUUCAUUCUAACGGGAUACAGGAAAAUGAUUGGCUCAGCACACAGUGAAGCCAAAGAUGACAGCAUGUUCUGUGAUUUAGAGGGAAUUGAAGUAGCAAGAUAUUAUUUGCUCUUUUGCAAGUGGAACAGCUUAUUUUGACAACGUUAAAAUGUGGAAUGUUCGUGUCUCGGUAGACCCUAACACGUGUGGCGUGCAACAUUUUGUCCUAGUCAAGUGGAAUAAGUAGAUAUUAGGUUAUACUUAUUUCCAUUUCCCUAUUUUUAUUUUUUUUUAUUUAUUAUUAUUUAUUUUUUUAAAUUUCAUUCAGGUUUUUGUUUUUAAUAUAAAUUAUUAUUGUCUCAGAAAACAUCUGUAAUGUCAGGGAUUUUCUCUGUUUUUAUUUGUGUUUUGUUUUCUUUGCUUGUUGAACUUACAGAAUUCCGUUAUUCAAAUUUUAAGUAACUAUUUAGCUUCAGACUAGUGGCAGACAUUGCCAUUUCUUAGUCGGUGUCACUUUUUGUUAAUACCAUAACACCCAGGCGCAUGUUGAAUAUUAUGCAUGUGGGGUGAGGUCUAGACUGUGGCGUGCGACGUUUUACGUUAUGCUCCUUGGAAACAUACAUUAAAAAAACGAAAAUUCGCAUGAUGGGGUGGGGUGGGGGUGGUGUUUGAUCCCCCCCCCAAAAAAAAAAACCCACAAAAAAACAAAACAAAACAAAACAAACCCAUCUGUACACGCGCCUUAACACCAUGUAAAUGUGUGAUAUAUACUGAAUCAAAUUAAAAACUUCACAAUCAAAAAUUUGAAUAAAGUCAAUGAGUGUUUAAAGCAGGUAUUUUUCAGGAAUAAAUAUUGUAAUGGCAAUGUCGACACUCCAUUUGAACCUGUCACAGCCCACGCGACCCGAUCCUAGAAUGUGGAUCACCUCCUCGCACGGCGCCCAUAUGUUGGAUCCAUGUUGACCCAAUGUCGUCGCCAUCAACGUCAACUGUGGGCACAACGCCACUUGCGAUGGACUCAGAGACAAUGGAAUAGAGUAGUGGAUCAAGAUUCACAGUGCGAUUUUCUGAUGGUCAGUGAAGUCGACAGAUUCGAAGGCGGAAGUGUAAUGGUUUGGGGUGCUUUCUGUGGAAAUGGCCGUUCUUGACUUCUUGUCAUCUGUAGCAAUCUUAACGCUGCUGCAUACCGCCAACAGAUGCUGGCCCAGGAACUUGUGCCCUUCAUGGCAGCUCAUGGUCCAAGUUUGAAUUUUCAGCAUGACAACGCCAGACCCCACACGGCCAUCGUAACAAGGGAUUACCUGAGCAUCGCGGGCAUCAGUGUGAUGGAUUGGCAUUCACGGUCGCCCGACCUGAAUCCCAACGAACACGUCGGGGAUGUGCUGGGAAGACGUCUGCGCAUUCCCAGGUACCCUCCACAGACAUUGCAGGAACUUGGUGCCUCUUUAGUGGAACAAUAGCACCGUAUCCCUAAUGCAGUCUUUAUAUGCAUCAGGCAGUCAAUGAGAAGGCGUUGGCUUGCAGUGGUGGGUACACAUGGAGGGCAUACGCGCCA
rnacentral:lncRNA from 1 species